CUCCCGCGAUUUGGUCAAACUCCUGUUUGUAGUUUCGAGAACACUGUCCAACUGUCUCAUCCUCUGUUUUCCCCUUCUCCUUGUGCCCUCAAUCUUUCCAAAUGCCCGUGGCAGUGUGUAUAGUGCUGAGUGUGGUUCAAAUCUCUGUAAAGUCUUGAAAUUCGCUUUGGAACACUUCUGCCAGAUUAUAUCCUCUAUGUUUAGACACGCAUGCACUGUGAUGUGGUAGACACCACUGGCUCAUUUUGUUUUCGUACAUUUAUAUCUCCUCCUUUCAUCCAAGGCAGCAUACACGAUUCUCUGUCUCCCUGCACGCAUUUUAUCCUGCUAACAGUCCUGCAAGGUAGGUUGGCUUCACAGCUGGAUGGAGAUUUGAACCCAGGUUCCCCACUUUCCUAGCUCACCCACUUUUAACCACUUUACUGGCUCACAUUUUGCUGCAUUGCGUGUGUUUAAAAUUAUAGACAUACCUUCACGCGUACCCCAUUUUUGCAUCUUUAUAUUACAUGAAAUAAAACCCUUCCAACUCUUACCACUCUGUGAUUCUAUGAAAUAACCAAGGGAAGAAAUAAUUAGCUGGAAUUCCCGUCCUGCUUUUUGACUGUGGAGUCCUCAAGUCUUGGGUCUGAAGACAGCCUCAUGUCACCUUGAACAACGCAACUAUACUGCAGUGUUUGUGCAGCUAUAAAAGGGAGAGGAUGAUUCCCCCCCCACCUGUCCUAAGCCCUUGGAAUAACACAAAGAUAGAAAUGUGAAUUAAAUUGGUGUACAAAUCUGUGAAUACAUCAUUAUUUAAUACUGCCCUAAAGAUAUAGCUAUAUAUGUUCAGUUGUAAGGUCUUGUUUUGUUUUUAGAAAGAGAAGAGAAGGCCACAUUUGCCUGCUGCUUUUUCAGCUUAAAAUGGUCAUGCAUCCAAACAUCUGUCUGAGCUCCCAAAUCCUACAGAGGAUCAUACAGGGAAAGCAAAAAUUAGUCUGUCUUGGGAUGGAGCUGUUUUAAGAAUGCAAGUCCUUUUAAGUAUUUAAGAGCUAGUAACAUCUCAGCGCUAAAGACUUUAUUCUCAUUACUUAUACAUCUUCUGCUUCAUUUUAGGAGUAAAGGGUGCCCAUCUAUUAUUUAGGAGGCCUGUUGGGUUGGUGACAAAAAAAAAGGCCAAAAGCAAUUCUUGUGCUGCCUCCUCCUCUCAGAAGCUCCUCUUAACUUUCAAGCAACUAUUUGACAACCUGCAUUUAAACUCCACCGUUGGAUAAAAAUAUGGACUGAGUGCAUUUUGUGAGGCAAGCAGAGAAAGGCCACGGUUUUUCUGUUUGAUGAGAACGCCAGUCUGUUCCAUCCCUCCUGCCUCGUCCCAUAAAGUGGUACUGGAGGAGUCGGGAACCUGUGGCCAUCCAGACUCCAGCUCCCAUUGUCCCCAGGCAGCAUGGCCAGCGUUGUAGUGGUCAGUCCAGCAACAUCUGGAGGGUACAGGUUCUUUACCUCUGUGGUACAGGCUGGUGCUGGUGAAGGCAAAGUCACACCUCUGUGGCUUUUGUCAGGGGACUGUCCAAAGUAUAGCCAGGAAGCCAUUUUACAGUAUUACCCUC